rnacentral:lncRNA from 1 species
CCCAGGGACUGGUCCUUUAGCUUCUGUCCAAGCCAUGCUGGGGACAUUCCUGCUCUCCGGCUCAGCCAUGCCUCUUGCUGUCCACUGAUUCUCUUGACCCAGGCCACAGCUUGCAAACUGACUUCCUGGACCUGCCUCAUCCCCAGGCAUUUCUCUGGUGGUCUGUGAACUUGGUUGGACACAACAAACAUCAUUGAGAACUGAUGUUCAGUGUGUCACCUGCCACAAGCAAAAAUGGGCUUCAUUUACCCAGCGUGGACAAGAUGUGGAGAGAGAGGGUUGGAGGGAGCAGGACCAGGUGAAUAGGCAGAAGAAAUCCCCAGUGCCAGCUCUCCCAGCAUUUCCCCAUGCUCCCACCUUCUGUGAUGCUGGCAGGGACAAUCUGUGUACUAUAAUUUCUGCACAAAAAGCUCAGAGCUCAUCCUGUGAAGUGCUGAGAAUCCCUGGAAGAUGGAUAGCAUUCCUGGCUGACCAUGGCUCCAGAGAGAAUCAACCACCUGUGAUAACUACUCACACUGCUCGAGGAGCACUAGUUCCUGCUGGGAUAAUGCUCCUGGAGAAUACCCAGUUCUUCAGCAGACAGAAAAGACCAAGGAGGAUAUUACAGAUGAUGGAAGAAGAAGCUGGGAAAGACACACAAAUAUUGUUUGAAAACAAGCUUUUCUAGUUAAUGAUACACAUGCAGAGUUCCAGCUGUACAUUUCUAUUUUUCCCUUGGCUAUCCACAAAAUCUAAAAAUAACAGUUGAGUAUUCUCCAGCUGUUUGGGGGAAAUUAGGCAUGGAAGUCCUGAACACAUGCACAUUAUUUUGAUAGGUGGGACCUUCAUCUUCUGAAUAGCUCUGUUUUCCUAAUUAAUUUUACCCUCUCUGGAUUUCUAAAACAAGUUAUGAAAGGAAGGUUUCAUGGUAGUAGCUAAGUCUGACCUGAGCAUAGGUGGGCACUGCACAAGAUUUCUGCCUAUCACCCUGAUGUCAUGACAAACUUUUUUCACUCUCACCUGUGUUAUUGCUGCACUGGUUUCUAAAACUACUCACGUAAUGAAAGUUCCCCAAGAGAUGCAUAUUAAACCAGGCAUAUUUAAGUCAAUAAGCAGAUGGAAUUAGCAAGGCUGAAUAGUCCCCAUAUGGAUUUAAAUGUGCUUCUAUCUUCCACUUUCUCUGUGCAAAGGCUGGAAAUGGUGUCUUUUCCCUAUUCUGUAGUUCUGUAGGCAGUACCAGGAUCAUCUCCUCCAGGGAGAGUGUGUUUGCUGGGAAGGUCUCACCUUUUACAAAAGCCCCUGGACCUCUUGUGUACAGAGCUGGACUCUGCAGAUUCCAUACAGCUUACUUCACAUUGCUUCUUACUGGCAAUGACUAGGAUAAAUGUCUCCUGUCACGUUUAAAUUAAAGAAAUUCUGGAAGUACUUACUCUGGAA